rnacentral:lncRNA from 1 species
AUUAGUUACAAUCGCAUGUUAAGCUGAGUUUUAAUGAUAUGUUUUUGAAUUGCAUUGUAUUUAUCUAAUGUGCCUUUCCAACUGAUGCUGCUUGGAUUAAAUCCAGUUUUGAGUUUCAAUUUUGUGAUAAAUCUUUACUAGGCUAAGAGUUUAAAUUGACAAUGUUAUUUAGGAAGAAAGAUUCAUCUCCAUGUAAAUAUUAGUGAGCAUAGACCCUGUAGAGAUUCAUCAAGAUACUGGACUUAUUUGGUGAAGACAAUAUGUGAUAUUAUUAUUGUUAUUGUUAUUUGCUUCAUUUCCUUGAAAUUCGAAAUAAUCUUUGAUCCACGGAUUCGGUAAUUCAAUGCCGUUGUGCCGCCCAAGUUUUAAUACAUUAAUUGUAUGAUUUCACCGCGUUAUGAAUUCACGAUGACAUC